GAUGAACGCUGGCGGCGUGCCUAAUACAUGCAGGUCGAGCGAACGGACGAGAAGCUUGCUUCUCUGAUGUUAGCGGCGGACGGGUGAGUAACACGUGGAUAACCUACUUAUAAGACUGGGAUAAUUUCGGGAAACCGGAGCUAAUACCGGAUAAUAUUUUGAACCGCAUGGUUCAAAAGUGAAAGACGGUCUUGCUGUCACUUAUAGAUGGAUCCGCGCUGCAUUAGCUAGUUGGUAAGGUAACGGCUUACCAAGGCAACGAUGCAUAGCCGACCUGAGAGGGUGAUCGGCCACACUGGAACUGAGACACGGUCCAGACUCCUACGGGAGGCAGCAGUAGGGAAUCUUCCGCAAUGGGCGAAAGCCUGACGGAGCAACGCCGCGUGAGUGAUGAAGGUCUUCGGAUCGUAAAGCUCUGUUAUUAGGGAAGAACAGAUGUGUAAGUAACUGUGCACAUCUUGACGGUACCUAAUCAGAAAGCCACGGCUAACUACGUG
rnacentral:rRNA from 1 species